GACCGGACACCGCCGGGCGCCAUGCGCUGCUCCGCCGGGAGAAACCCGAGCACUUGUACUUAGCCCAUUCGUAACAACAGGUGUGAAAAGACUUUGCGAGUAUUUCCUGUCUCUGCUGCAGCCAUGGAAAGCAUUCCCCCAUUUGCUUCAGAAUGUGGAACAGAAGAUAGAAGAGGACCUGCUGUCAAAUGCAGAAGGCCAAAGUACCCAGCAUUGCUGUCUGCGUAAUGAAGGAAGCUAAAAACAUAGAGAGGUGACAAGCUGGAGGUCCUUUGCCUCAGGAUAUCUGAAUUCUGCAAAGCUAGCUCUUUUCAGAUGAGUGUUACCUGCACAUAAGUCAAUUGAUGGGAUAGUUUAACUGAAAAUAUGUGUUGCCUACUGCAUGCUUGUAACCACAGUUACUACAGGGGAAGUUUUGUAAGGCUGAAAGUUGGGAUCAAGGCUAGUUCUUGUUCUUUGCUGAUUCCCACCUGCUGGCACUUCAGAUUAAAACUUGUUUGCAAAUCAUGAGAAAAAA